GAGCAUGACGCGCGUCACCGCGUGUGUGCGCGCUCGCGUGUUGAUCUUAAAGGACAAUUGAACUUCUUCUUCCUUCGAGUCUUUCCUGAUGAUGGAUCCCUCAUCUGCUCAUCAACACCCGUGCUCACCUGCGUUCCAGCGAUCGACGAUCAUAGAUGCGGUUGGCGGAGAAAGUCAAGGACUCUGCCGAGGGUACAGAAUUGAUCAACCUUGACCAGGACAAAACCCCCACCGCUCCCCCUGAACCCGAGUUCAUGUCCAGCGGACACUCCUCUCCAGUACACCUGAGUGGAUCUUACAAGGAAGACCGAGGAGUGAGAGUCAGGGGUUAGAACACACCCUCCAACAAUCUAGAGGCGCCGCCACUGAUUGUCCACGAGAUGCUGCAGAUUUGCCAACCAAGACAGCACCACGGCAUCCAGGGCCUUGAGGAACUCCGGGAGGAUCUCGUCCCCCCUGCCCGCUCUGCAACCUCAGCCCUGAAGACAGGAGAGCCCAUGGUCGAGUCACAAAGCACUGCUUCCUCACGAGAAAAUUCAUGGGACGUCUGUGGGAUUCGGGGAGUUCUUCGUCCUCUUGAAGAAAAAUGAAGUUUUACAGUAAAAUCUUCAACGUUCUAAUCAAGUUAAAGGCUAAGCUGACUUUACAGAAAUAAAUACUGUAUUUUCAGUUUAAAUUUGAUGUUUAACUUACAAAAUGAUAACUGUCAAAUUAUUUCUAGUUUGUGGUUGGGUGUUUUUAUUAUGUAAAAAUGUUGAUUUCAUGAAACAAAGCACUCAGUGUGUGUCGGGAUUACGUCCCUAAAUUUUAUUCAUGACUUU